GGCCCGCUAGCUCAAUGGCAGAGCAGCUGACUCUUAAUCAGCGGGUUCGGGGUUCGAGUCCCUGGUGAGUCACCA
rnacentral:tRNA from 1 species